rnacentral:rRNA from 1 species
CAGCCCCUCGAGUGGUGGGGAUGAUUAUUUGGCCUAAAGCGUCCGUAGCCGGCCGGGCAAGUCUUCCGUUAAAUCCAGCGUCUCAAGCGUUGGACCGCGGGAGAUACUGUCUGGCUAGAGAGUGGGAGAGGUGUACGGUAUUCUGGGGGUAGGGGCGAAAUCCUUUGAUCCCCGGAGGACCACCAGUGGCGAAGGCUGUGCACUAGAACACGUCUGACGGUCAGGGACGAAAGCUGGGGUAGCGAACCGGAUUAGAUACCCGAGUAGUCC